rnacentral:sRNA from 1 species
AGGUCCAUCGUACUUGCGUUUUCAGGGCCUGAGCGAUGACUUUAGCACCAGACACCUGCUCCUCGCUGCGCUCUGCGAAGUUACUGUCCGGCAUCUUCCACCGAAAAGCUCUAAGCACUCACGCAGGCGGCAAACAAGCGGAAUCACCCAGCAAGGCAAACGCAAAGUCGGCGGCACGCCACCUCUGGGACUGCACCUCUGACGGACAGGAGGGCAACCAACUGCCUUAAACAACGGGAAGGAAGAGGCGGUCUAAAUUCGUCCACUUCCCGGGAGAGGUGAGAAUGUAAACACGCGCGUUCUCCAAUCAGAACUGCGCUCUCUUCUCGGCUCCUCCAUUCGCGCGCCAGAAUGCCAGGGGGAGGCGGGACUAGCAGGAGAUUGCUGCCUAUGCAAAGCAGAUUUAUGGUCUGCAUUAUGUCUGGAGCCAGAAGUAAGCUUGCUCUUUUCCUCUGCGGCUGUUACGUGGUUGCCCUGGGAGCCCACACCGGGGAGGAGAGCGUGGCUGAACAUCACGAGGCUGAAUAUUAUGUGGCUGCCGUGUAUGAGCAUCCAUCC